rnacentral:rRNA from 1 species
GACGAACCACACGAACGUUAUUCGGAAUUACUGGGCUUAAAGGGUGCGUAGGCGGUGGAGAAAGUUGGGUGUGAAAUCCCUCAGCUUAACUGAGGAACUGCGCUCAAAACUACUUUGCUUGAGGGAGACAGAGGUAAGCGGAACUUAGGGUGGAGCGGUGAAAUGCGUUGAUAUCCUAAGGAACACCGGUGGCGAAGGCGGCUUACUGGGUCUCUUCUGACGCUGAGGCACGAAAGCUAGGGUAGCGAACGGG